UCGAACGGUAACGCGGGGCAACCUGGCGACGAGUGGCGAACGGGUGAGUAAAGCAUCGGAACGUGCCCAGUAGUGGGGGAUAGCCCGGCGAAAGCCGGAUUAAUACCGCAUACGACCUAAGGGUGAAAGGGGGGGAUCGCAAGACCUCUCGCUAUUGGAGCGGCCGAUGUCAGAUUAGCUAGUUGGUGGGGUAAAGGCCUACCAAGGCGACGAUCUGUAGCUGGUCUGAGAGGACGACCAGCCACACUGGGACUGAGACACGGCCCAGACUCCUACGGGAGGCAGCAGUGGGGAAUUUUGGACAAUGGACGCAAGUCUGAUCCAGCCAUGCCGCGUGCGGGAAGAAGGCCUUCGGGUUGUAAACCGCUUUUGUCAGGGAAGAAAUCUUCUGGGUUAAUACCUCGGGAGGAUGACGGUACCUGAAGAAUAAGCACCGGCUAACUACGUGCCAGCAGCCGCGGUAAUACGUAGGGUGCGAGCGUUAAUCGGAAUUACUGGGCGUAAAGCGUGCGCAGGCGGUUAUGCAAGACAGAUGUGAAAUCCCCGGGCUCAACCUGGGAACUGCAUUUGUGACUGCAUAGCUGGAGUGCGGCAGAGGGGGAUGGAAUUCCGCGUGUAGCAGUGA
rnacentral:rRNA from 1 species